UUAAAUUUGAGUUGUAUGUCAGAAACGAACAGCAGGGAAGAUAUUGGGCAUCAAACACUCUCUCUGGAGCAUCUUAGGCUGUGUAUUCCAGAAGCAGAACAAAAGCUGGAACUGCAGUGUGUUCCCAGAUACCUUUAUGGAUGAUGGUGGGGACAAUGGAAUUCCAAAAUUCUUUUAUAGGAGAGAGCUGUGGGAACCUGUUUUGCUGAUGUCCUUAAUCCUGGCAUCUCAGUUUCAGUACCUAUACAAAACCACUGGCUACAGGUUAUACCCAGGACUCCGAGGAUGUGUUCCUUGUUCUAAGUAGCUUCUGCUUGGCCCUGCAUCAGAGCCUAUGUUCUGCUAAGGAUCCAGAUCCACCUUGGCUUGGAGAGGGGUUCCUGGGAGAAGGAGUGUUUGAGAGCUGAAAAAAUAACAGACUGGGAGUCAGUUCCUGUGUACAAGCUGAUGGUCUGUGUUCUGCUCGAGACAGCUUUCUCUAGAGUUCUUCAGACAGCUCAUCCAGAUAGCUCAGACUAAGGCCCAGUCCUUUAUUUACAUACCAAUCCAGUCAUUUACUCCAGGGUCUCUUUUAAUUAUCCCCAGAAUCAGUAUUCCAUGUUCCCAGCCCCCUGAUUCUUGGAAACAGACAGCAAGCAUUUUUUUUUAGCAUUGCAAAUGAAUUCAGGGAUCUGCCUGCAUUUGUAAGCACAAACAAUAAACUUAGCUUCGUGGAAUCCUGUCCUGAGAUUAAAGUUCCAACCAUGCCUGGACCUAAAUUCACUCUGUCCCAGGCUGACCUUGAAUUUAGGAAUUUGCCUACCUUUGUAUCUCUCUGUCUUUGUAUCUUUCUGACAAGCUGGCUCACAGUACAGCUGCUUAUAUUCUUUUAGGCUCUUGAAGCCCUUCAUAUAAUUAAUAUUGCAUCCUUAUAUUUUGCAUAGUUAAGAAAUUAUAUAUUUUUGGACUCCUAUUUUCAGAGUUCUUUCCCAUAGCCUUAAGAACUGUCCUGGACAUCACAACAUUUAGCAUUUUUGUUAUGUUCAUAGCCACACUCUGUCUCCUAUAUUCAUGCUGUCUCUGAUUAUCAUGGAAUCAUUAAUAUUAGCAAAGAGGAAGUUCCCUGAUAAUCUUAGCAGGGGGAAUAUUUCCCGAAAAAGUAACAUGAACUAAUACACACACACACACACACACACACACACACACACACAAGCCUCAUACCCACCAACCAUCCUCGUUCACAGAGGCCCAUGGCCUACUAGCUCUGUUCCUGGGGCAGGAAACAAUGUUACACCAUCCCUUCUGCAUGGCCUUGCAGGACUCAGCAAUGCUCUCCUCAGGUUAGAGCCCUUAGGUCAGUGGUUCUCAAGCCUCCUAACUUUGUGAUCCUUUAAUACAGUUCUUUGUGUUGUAGUGACCCUCAAACAGAGAAUUAUCUUUGUUUUUAUGUCACAACUGUAAUCUUGUUAGUGUUAUGAAUUGUACUAUAUGCAAGAUAUCUGAUAUAUGCCCUUGUGAAAGGUCCAUUGACCCACCCCCCCAUAGGGGGUCACAGCCCAUAAGUUGACCACUGCCUUAGGUAGUUUGAGCCUGUCUCUUCCAUGAGCUAAAGUUAUUUUUAGAUGCCUGCAGAGAUUAUAAGGAGGGAUGUCCACAGAGUCCUAGAGAUGCAAACAUGCAGGGCUUUUUGAUAUUCUGAGCACUAAAGCUGCCAAGGUGGAUCCCUGAUAUAGAACCCUGAAAAAAUGUCAGGAGAUAAUGUAAACUUUCUCUAAAUUCAGCCCACUCUGCAGAACUCAGAAAAUAUUGGCUUUUUCACCAGUACAUCCUUUUGAGACCAUCUCUCAUAUUUACCCUUGCAUAGGGAUAGCUCUCCUCCCCCUGGACAUGGUUCCAUGGGGCAGCUGCUAGGAUGCUUUGUCCCAAGUCUGAGUUUCACCAGAUCCCCUCCUUUCUCUUGCAUCCACUCACCUCAGCACAUAGCCACUCACCUAAUGCUUUGCUUCUGUCCUAUGCAGGAGCUGGUGAGUCCUGGAUGUGUCUGUUCCACAAUAUCUCCUGUUUUGUACCCCCAGUUUAUUUCAGUCUAUUCUGAGAAUUUCCCAGCUGAGAGAAUUUCAUUGUUCUCCAUUGUAUCUCCUUCAAUUAUGAUUCAGGGUGCUGUGGAGUACUGAAUGUUUGCAUUCUGGAAGUUUCUUAGUUGUUUUCCUGAAUCGCUGCCUGAAACAUAAAACAAUUAUGUAUUUGUUUGUUUACUCUUUUGUGUGUGUUUAUAUGUGUAUAUGAAGGUGCUCAUGUGCUACAGUGCAUGUUGAAGUCAGAGGACAACAUUUGGAAGUUGAGUCUCUUCUGCUACAUUGUGUGAUCUGUGGAUGAAACUCAGGUCAUAAAGCAUAUGUGAGGAAGAGGAUUUAGAAAAAGGAGUAACAAAAGGACAGAAUGAGACUGUAGGCUCAGUUGUGCAUCCCUUUGCAAGAUGUCUUGGCUUACCCCAUUGAAAACAGGUGCCUUCAUUUGUCUUGCUGUGGUCAUUGGCUAUAUGACCAGUUUUUUACUAGACUAAUAGAACUUUACUUGGGAGCAGCCUUUUUGAAUGGGUCUAAAUGCACAAAAUAGCUUUUUGCUAUUUUAGCAUGAGCACAGUAAUGAGCCAUGUAGCUUAAUUUGCCAUAGUUGAAGCUCUUGGGCUUCUCCUUGUCUUUGAUAACAUGAGUAUCUCUACUGCAGUUAUAACACGUCUGUUGGUUAGUGUUUAUUAUCCACUUAACACAAUUUUGAGGGAGACUCAAUUGAAGAAUUGUCUACAUCGGAUUAGCUUUUGGCCAUCCUUACCAGAGUUGUCUUGAUUGGUGAUUGAUGUGGGGAGGUUCAGUCCAUACUGGACAGCAUCAUCAGCAUGCAAGGUGGUUUUGGACUGUAUAAGAGAGCUAGCUGAGCUGGGCACAAUCCCAGCACCCAGAAAGGUAGAGGCUGGUAGAUCUCUGUGAGUUUGAGGCCAGCCGGUUCUACAGAGUGAGUUCUAGGACAGGCAGGGAGGGCUGUUACACAGAGAAACCCCUGUCUCAACAACAACAACAACAACACCACCACCACCAACAACAGCAGCAGCAGCAACAACAAAAGCUAGCUGAGUGUGCAGAACUGAGUGAACCAGUGAGCAGCAUUACUCUGUGAUUUCUGCUUAUGUUCCUGCUCUUCUUCAGUGAUGGACUGUGACCUGAAAAUGUAAGCCAACUAGACGUUUUCCUUUCUAAGUUGCAGACUGUUCUAUCAUAGUAACAGAAAGUCACACUAGAAGAACUGGCAGUACUCCUGAAGAUUACAAUCCUUGGCAAUAUACCCAGAUUCAACACAGUGAUAAUGCAUGUCUGAAAGUGAUGAGGGAACAUGCUGGAAACCUCUGCUGUGGCUUCUCAUGCGAUGACCCUGGCCCCUGUCAACAGUAGGACAUUGUCUGUGCCAGCUGCUAGAUCCUUUGCACUUGAAGCAUUUGUUGCUGCGGUCAGAGAUUCCAAAUGUGAGCAGCCUGCUGUGGUAGGGCCUGGAUGCUGGCCUGGGGAAGAGA
rnacentral:lncRNA from 1 species